rnacentral:rRNA from 1 species
UACGUAGGGUGCAAGCGUUAAUCGGAAUUACUGGGCGUAAAGCGUGCGCAGGCGGUUGUGCAAGACAGAUGUGAAAUCCCCGGGCUUAACCUGGGAACUGCAUUUGUGACUGCACGGCUAGAGUGUGUCAGAGGGGGGUAGAAUUCCACGUGUAGCAGUGAAAUGCGUAGAUAUGUGGAGGAAUACCGAUGGCGAAGGCAGCCCCCUGGGAUAACACUGACGCUCAUGCACGAAAAGCGUGGGGGAGCAAACAGG